GGUGCUGAAGCAACAAAUGCCCUGCUUCCAGGAAAAGCCUCUAAGCAUCAGGUAACAUCAAAUCGUACCCCAAACCGACACAGGUGGUCAGGUAGAGAAUACCAAGGCGCUUGAGAGAACUCGGGUGAAGGAACUAGGCAAAAUGGUGCCGUAACUUCGGGAGAAGGCACGCUGAUAUGUAGGUGAAGUCCCUCGCGGAUGGAGCUGAAAUCAGUCGAAGAUACCAGCUGGCUGCAACUGUUUAUUAAAAACACAGCACUGUGCAAACACGAAAGUGGACGUAUACGGUGUGACGCCUGCCCGGUGCCGGAAGGUUAAUUGAUGGGGUUAGCGCAAGCGAAGCUCUUGAUCGAAGCCCCGGUAAACGGCGGCCGUAACUAUAACGGUCCUAAGGUAGCGAAAUUCCUUGUCGGGUAAGUUCCGACCUGCACGAAUGGCGUAAUGAUGGCCAGGCUGUCUCCACCCGAGACUCAGUGAAAUUGAACUCGCUGUGAAGAUGCAGUGUACCCGCGGCAAGACGGAAAGACCCCGUGAACCUUUACUAUAGCUUGACACUGAACAUUGAGCCUUGAUGUGUAGGAUAGGUGGGAGGCUUUGAAGUGUGGACGCCAGUCUGCAUGGAGCCGACCUUGAAAUACCACCCUUUAAUGUUUGAUGUUCUAACGUUGACCCGUAAUCCGGGUUGCGGACAGUGUCUGGUGGGUAGUUUGACUGGGGCGGUCUCCUCCUAAAGAGUAACGGAGGAGCACGAAGGUUGGCUAAUCCUGGUCGGACAUCAGGAGGUUAGUGCAAUGGCAUAAGCCAGCUUGACUGCGAGCGUGACGGCGCGAGCAGGUGCGAAAGCAGGUCAUAGUGAUCCGGUGGUUCUGAAUGGAAGGGCCAUCGCUCAACGGAUAAAAGGUACUCCGGGGAUAACAGGCUGAUACCGCCCAAGAGUUCAUAUCGACGGCGGUGUUUGGCACCUCGAUGUCGGCUCAUCACAUCCUGGGGCUGAAGUAGGUCCCAAGGGUAUGGCUGUUCGCCAUUUAAAGUGGUACGCGAGCUGGGUUUAGAACGUCGUGAGACAGUUCGGUCCCUAUCUGCCGUGGGCGCUGGAGAACUGAGGGGGGCUGCUCCUAGUACGAGAGGACCGGAGUGGACGCAUCACUGGUGUUCGGGUUGUCAUGCCAAUGGCACUGCCCGGUAGCUAAAUGCGGAAGAGAUAAGUGCUGAAAGCAUCUAAGCACGAAACUUGCCCCGAGAUGAGUUCUCCCUGACUCCUUGAGAGUCCUGAAGGAACGUUGAAGACGACGACGUUGAUAGGCCGGGUGUGUAAGCGCAGCGAUGCGUUGAGCUAACCGGUACUAAUGAACCGUGAGG
rnacentral:rRNA from 1 species